GACGAACGCUGGCGGCGUGCUUAACACAUGCAAGUCGAACGGAAAGGCCCUGCUUGCAGGGUACUCGAGUGGCGAACGGGUGAGUAACACGUGGGUGAUCUGCCCUGCACUUCGGGAAUAAGCCUGGGAAACUGGGUCUAAUACCGGAUAGGAGCCAUUUUUAGUGUGAUGGUUGGAAAGUUUUUUCGGUGUAGGAUGAGCUCGCGGCCUAUCAGCUUGUUGGUGGGGUAAUGGCCUACCAAGGCGGCGACGGGUAGCCGGCCUGAGAGGGUGGACGGCCACAUUGGGACUGAGAUACGGCCCAGACUCCUACGGGAGGCAGCAGUGGGGAAUAUUGCACAAUGGGCGCAAGCCUGAUGCAGCGACGCCGCGUGGGGGAUGACGGCCUUCGGGUUGUAAACUCCUUUCGCUAGGGACGAAGCUUUUUGUGACGGUACCUAGAUAAGAAGCACCGGCUAACUACGUG
rnacentral:rRNA from 1 species